UGACUAGGGCACAUGGUCUUGCGCUUGC
rnacentral:piRNA from 1 species